rnacentral:rRNA from 1 species
GCGAAACUGCGAAUGGCUCAUUAUAUAAGUUAUCGUUUAUUUGAUAGUACCUUACUACUUGGAUAACCGUGGUAAUUCUAGAGCUAAUACAUGCUAAAAAUCCCGACUUCGGAAGGGAUGUAUUUAUUAGAUUAAAAACCAAUGCCCUCUGGGCUCUCUGGUGAUUCAUGAUAACUUCUCGAAUCGCAUGGCCUUGCGCCGGCGAUGGUUCAUUCAAAUUUCUUCCCUAUCAACUUUCGAUGUUUGGGUAGUGGCCAAACAUGGUUGCAACGGGUAACGGAGGGUUAGGGCUCGACCCCGGAGAAGGAGCCUGAGAAACGGCUACUACAUCCAAGGAAGGCAGCAGGCGCGCAAAUUACCCAAUCCCGACACGGGGAGGUAGUGACAAUAAAUACUGAUACAGGGCUCUUUUGGGUCUUGUAAUUGGAAUGAGUACAAUUUAAAUCCCUUAACGAGGAACAAUUGGAGGGCAAGUCUGGUGCCAGCAGCCGCG